rnacentral:rRNA from 1 species
GACGAACGCUGGCGGCGUGCCUAAUACAUACAAGUCGAGCGGACCUCUUCGGAGGUUAGCGGCGGACGGGUGAGUAACACGUGGGCAACCUGCCUGUAAGACUGGGAUAACUUCGGGAAACCGGAGCUAAUACCGGAUAAUCCUUUCCCUCUCAUGAGGGAAAGCUGAAAGACGGUUUCGGCUGUCACUUACAGAUGGGCCCGCGGCGCAUUAGCUAGUUGGUGAGGUAACGGCUCACCAAGGCGCCGAUGCGUAGCCGACCUGAGAGGGUGAUCGGCCACACUGGGACUGAGACACGGCCCAGACUCCUACGGGAGGCAGCAGUAGGGAAUCUUCCGCAAUGGACGAAAGUCUGACGGAGCAACGCCGCGUGAGCGAAGAAGGCCUUCGGGUCGUAAAGCUCUGUUGUCAGGGAAGAACAAGUAUCGGAGUAACUGCCGGUACCUUGACGGUACCUGACCAGAAAGCCACGGCUAACUACGUGCCAGCAGCCGCGGUAA